rnacentral:rRNA from 1 species
AUUGAACGCUGGCGGCAGGCCUAACACAUGCAAGUCGAACGGAGCGGCGGACGGGGGCGUAAUGCCAAGGACUCUGCAUGUGCGUGGGGGAUGAGGUUCGGAACUGGGCGCUAAUACCACAUACUAUCAGCAGCGCCUAGGUCGGAUUAGCUAGUGGGUGGGGUAAAGGCCUACCCAGGCGACGAUCCCUAACUGGUCUGAGAGGAUGAUCAGUCACACUGGAACUGAGACACGGUCCAGACUCCUACGGGAGGCAGCAGUGGGGAAUAUUGGACAAUGGGCGAAAGCCUGAUCCAGCCAUGCCGCGUGUGUGAAGAAGGUCUUCGGAUUGUAAAGCACUUUAAGUUGGGAGGCGUUACCAACAGAAGAAGCACCGGCUAACUCCGUGCCAGCAGCCGCGGUAAUUC